rnacentral:piRNA from 1 species
UGCAGUGAAAUGACUGAAAGUGAGAUGU